UAGGGAAUUUUCGGCAAUGGGGGCAACCCUGACCGAGCAACGCCGCGUGAGUGAAGACGGCCUUCGGGUUGUAAAGCUCUGUUGUAAGGGAAGAACGGUAGAUAGAGAAUAUCUAAGUGACGGUACCUUACCAGAAAGCCACGGCUAACUACGUGCCAGCAGCCGCGGUAAUACGUAGGUGGCGAGCGUUAUCCGGAAUUAUUGGGCGUAAAGGGUGCGUAGGCGGCCUGUUAAGUAAGUGGUUAAAUUGUUGGGCUCAACCCAAUCCAGCCACUUAAACUGGCAGGCUAGAGUAUUGGAGAGGCAAGUGGAAUUCCAUGUGUAGCGGUAAAAUGCGUAGAUAUAUGGAGGAACACCAGUGGCGAAGGCGGCUUGCUAGCCAAAGACUGACGCUCAUGCACGAAAGCGUGGGGAGCAAAUAGGAUUAGAUACCCUAGUAGUCCACGCCGUAACGAUGAAUACUAAGUAUUGGGGAAACUCAGUGCUGCAGCUAACGCAAUAAGUAUUCCGCCUGUGGAGUAUGCACGCAAGUGUG
rnacentral:rRNA from 1 species